AUGAUCAUCUUGGCCUAGAACUGCCGAUGAUUGGGGUUGGACUCGGCAGUGGGCAAACUUCGGGACCUGGUUAGGUCGCACAACCCAGCGGUGGUCUUUUUAUCUGAAACCAAAAAGAGAGCGGGGGCUGUGGAUAGGCUAAAAUGGAGUCUGGGAUUCAACAAGGGUGUUGCGGUGGAUUGUAAGGGUAAGAGUGGAGGCCUAGCGUUGUGGUGGAGGGACCAUCUGGAAGUAACUGUGCAUCCGUGGUGCCAGUAUUACAUUGAUGCGGCGAUCGUGUCUGGCGGUGUUUCCUUUAGGUUCACUGGAAUCUAUGUGGAGCCAUGCGUCGAAAAGAGAACGAAAAUUUGGGAGAUUUUGCGAUAUCUUCGAGCUCAAGACAACCUCCCUUGGCUGUGUGCAGGAGACUUUAAAUAA
rnacentral:rRNA from 1 species